rnacentral:misc_RNA from 1 species
AAGUCGUAACAAGGUCUCCGUUGGUGAACCAGCGGAGGGAUCAUUACGAGAGUGUCACCACUCCCAACCACUGUUUACCUACCCGUCCAUCGUGCCUCGGCAGGCAGCCCUGUGGGACAGAGCCUCGCCCCCCGCUGGGGGGGUGCCUGCCGCUGGCCGACCAAAAACUCUAGCUGUUUAGUACCAUCUGAGUCUUCCACAAAUGAACAAAACUUUCAACAACGGAUCUCUUGGUUCUG